UCAUUCAUGUUUCUGCCCUAUCAGCUUUGGAUGGUAGUGUAUUGGACUACCAUGGCAGUCACGGGUAACGGAGAAUUAGGGUUCGAUUCCGGAGAGGGAGCCUGAGAAACGGCUACCACAUCUACGGAAGGCAGCAGGCGCGCAAAUUGCCCAAUCCCGACACGGGGAGGCAGUGACAAGAAAUAACAACUCUUGGAUUUCUAAGAAGUGUAAUGAGGAUAAUUUACAACCCUUACCGAAAGCAAUUGGAGGGCAAGUCUGGUGCCAGCAGCCGCGGUAAUUCCAGCUCCAAUAGCGUAUAUUAAAGUUGUUGCAGUUAAAAAGCUCGUAGUUGAAGUUCUGAUUGUUCGGGCCUCGCGCUUUAUAGCCGAGGAACCGACAGUCAUCCGCUUGCAAAUAUAUGUUCGCCUUUAACCGGGUGGCUAUAUGAGUAAGCAAUUUACCUUGAGAAAAACAGAGUGUUCCAGGCAGGUUUGUCCGGAAUGCAUUAGCAUGGAAUAAUAGAAUAUGACUGAAGUCGAUUUAUUGGUUUAAGGCUUUAGUAAUGAUUAAUAGGAACAGUCGGGGGCAUUGGUACUUGACAGUCAGAGGUGAAAUUCUAGGAUUUGUCAAAGACUAACAAAUGCGAAAGCAUUUGCCAAGGAUGUUUUCAUUAAUCAAGAACGAAAGUUAGGGGAUCAAAGACGAUCAGAUACCGUCCUAGUCUUAACUAUAAACUAUACCGACUCGGAUUCAGAUGAAUCAAAAAGUUCAUUUGGGACCGUAGGAGAAAUCAAAGUUUUUGGGUUCUGGGGGAAGUAUGGUCGCAAGGCUGAAACUUAAAGGAAUUGACGGUUUUGCACCACCAUGGAGUGGAGUUUGCGGCUUAAUUUGACCCAACACUGGGAAACUCAUCAGGGCAAGAAGAUUUUAGGAUUGACAGAUUGAGAGUUCUUUCUUGAUUGGUCUAGUGGUGGUGCAUGGCCGUUCUUAGUUGGUGGAGUGAUUUGUCUGGUUAAUUCCGUUAACGAACGAGACCUUAACCUGCUAACUAGUAUUAGUAUCCCAAAUACUAACUACUUCUUAGAGGGACUAUGUGAUGUAAUCACAUGGAAGUUUGAGGCAAUAACAGGUCUGUGAUGCCCUUAGAUGUCCUGAGCUGCACGCGUACUACAAUGGCACUUUCAACGAGCAUUUCCUGAUCCGAAAGGAUUUGGGUAAUCUUUUUAGUGAGUGCCGUGAUUGGGAUAGAUCUUUGUAAUUAUGGAUCUUGAACUA
rnacentral:rRNA from 1 species